UACGGGGGGGGCAAGCGUUGUUCGGAAUUACUGGGCGUAAAGGGCUCGUAGGCGGCCAACUAAGUCAGACGUGAAAUCCCUCGGCUUAACCUGGGAACUGCGUCUGAUACUGGAUGGCUUGAGUUUGGGAGAGGGAUGCGGAAUUCCAGGUGUAGCGGUGAAAUGCGUAGAUAUGAUAUAGAACACCCAUUGCGAAGGCAGCUAACUGCGCGAUUAUUGACGCUGAUGCACGAAAGCGUGGGGAUCAAACAGG
rnacentral:rRNA from 1 species